rnacentral:other from 1 species
AUCCUGGACUGUACGUAAAGUGAUUAGUUCUUUAAAUCCGAACAUUUCUAAUAAGGGAAUCUGAUUCUCAAAUUCGGUGUUGAAUGCCUAGCUUUUUUUUCACCUAGGACUCCUAAAGAAUUUGAUAAGAUACCCACCUGCUAAUUUAGCGGGUUUACAUCCUAACACUUACGGCAAUUUGGGUCA